rnacentral:rRNA from 1 species
CCCUUAGAUGUUCUGGGCCGCACGCGCGCUACACUGAUGCAUUCAACGAGUCUAAAACCUGCUCUGAUAGGGGUGGGUAAUCUUUUGAAUGUGCAUCGUGAUUGGGAUAGAUGAUUGCAAUUUUUCAUCUUCAACGAGGAGUGCCUAGUAAACGCAAGUCAUCAGCUUGCAUUGAUUACGUCCCUGCCCUUUGUACACACCGCCCGUCGCUCCUACCGAUUGAAUGAUCCGAUGAAUAUCAUGGAUUGAGGAUGCAAGCAGGUUCGCCUGUCUUCAUCUUCGAGAAGUGAAGUAAAUCUUAUCAUUUAGAGGAAGGAGAAGUCGUAACA